GUGCAAAGAUUUCCCUACACACACACCUCUGUAUUCACACACACGUGCAAUCACAACCUUGCACAGCCCUGUGUGCGCACUCCAUCCAUGUGCACACAAAAGUGUGAUAAAACAAAAGGCCUUGUGCAAAGACCUUGAUGCACUCUCCCGUGUUCAUGCAUACACACACAUGCGUGCACGACAUCCCUUUGCACACCCACGUGCACGAUGACACAAGCACUGCUCCGGCCUUGCACACAGCCAUGUGCAUGCACACACAUGCAAAACUUUCACCUGCAAGCACUGUGCACACAGCCACGCGCAAUGCACGCUCUGAUGUUCAGCACCAUCUCUGCACACCCCCGUAUGCACGCAUACCUGCACUCACAGCUCGAGGACAAAAUGCUGCUGGCACGGCACAGCCAACACGCAGGCGGUGGGCAAUGUCAGGAGGAAAGUCGCCCCCUUACGCUCAUUCAUUCUCCUCUCUUGAAUGAACGCAUCGGGGCACAGCUGGAGCCCCAUCCUGAGAUGUGUUGUGCUGUGGGGUUCCUCGUCGGUGGGAUAUGGGGAUCCUGGGAUGGUGAUGGCGGUCCUCUCAGAAACUGUGGGAGUCCGAGAAGCCGGGGCGGAGGGGGCUGAAGAGGUUAAGGAUGUCUGAAGGAGGAAAUAGGGGAGUUCAGUGGGAGCUCAGAGGGGGACGUGGGGUGCUGCUGGGGACUGUGGAGCUCUGUGAGGUCCCUGGUUGCUGGGGGGAGGUGUACCGGGAGAAGGUCCUUGAGGAGCUAUGGGGCUCUGUGGGGGUUGUGGGAGGGAUAUAGGGACAUCGGGGGAUAUGGGAACACAGGCUGCAGGAGCAGAAUGCUGUCCAAGAGAAGACAAGAUGUGGGCUGCAGGAGGGACACAGGGGCAUGGGGUAGUAUGGAGACGUAGGGGGUAUGGGAGUAUGUGGGGAGCGGUUUAAGGUAAAAAGAGGAGAGGGAGUGUGGGGCAGUGUUGGAGUGGUUUCAUUUCAUCCAGAGAGGAGACUGGGGGUCCCUGUGGCCCAAAGGUGGGGCCCUGAGCCGUAACCCCACAUGAGCCAUAACCCAAGAUGACCUCAUCGCCCUCUAUGUGCGUGACCCCAUGGCUGCAUGUGACCCACAGCCCUGGGGGAACAAUACCCCCACGUGACCCUGUGACUCCCUGACUCUGCCUGCCCCCAUCACGCUGCAACCCAACGCCAUGUGGCCCAUAACUCUGGGAUCCCUGCCCCCA
rnacentral:lncRNA from 1 species